rnacentral:rRNA from 2 species
UAGGGAAUCUUCGGCAAUGGGGGGAACCCUGACCGAGCAACGCCGCGUGAGUGAAGAAGGUUUUCGGAUCGUAAAGCUCUGUUGUUAAGGAAGAACGAGUGUGAGAAUGGAAAGUUCAUGCUGUGACGGUACUUAACCAGAAAGGGACGGCUAACUACGUGCCAGCAGCCGCGGUAAUACGUAGGUCCCGAGCGUUGUCCGGAUUUAUUGGGCGUAAAGCGAGCGCAGGCGGUUAGAAAAGUCUGAAGUGAAAGGCAGUGGCUCAACCAUUGUAGGCUUUGGAAACUGUUUAACUUGAGUGCAGAAGGGGAGAGUGGAAUUCCAUGUGUAGCGGUGAAAUGCGUAGAUAUAUGGAGGAACACCGGUGGCGAAAGCGGCUCUCUGGUCUGUAACUGACGCUAAGGCUCGAAAGCGUGGGGAGCGAACAGG